rnacentral:rRNA from 1 species
AAAGCCUUAUCUUCUCUACCGCUACUCGUGGGAUGGGAAAUCUAGAAGAAAAGGAAUGCACACGUCUUCAGGAGCAGCAAGGCGGCGCCGGUGGUGAUCAUCACGUGGAACAUCAAAAAUGAAGUGUCUCCUUGGGCCAUUGCGGGUGACAAGUAUUUGAGUAAUGUAAUGUCACAAGAGUAA